CUGAGAGGAGAGAUGUUUGGCCUGGACUUGAUUCAGGAUUGCAGCGAUAUCAUGAGGAGCAAGAACUGUCAGUUUAUGUCCGAGAACAAAGUCAUUAGUCUUGUCCAGUUGGGCACUUGCAGCAAAAACAGCACGCAAACAGGAAGGACCACCUCUGGCCACGGGGUCAAGCAUGCAGGAGAAGUACCCAAUAGGGCGCUGACGGG